GAUGAACGCUGGCGGCGUGCCUAAUACGUGCAAGUCGAGCGGACGCACGGGAAGCUCGUUCCUUUGCUGUUAGCGGCGGGCGGGCGGGUAAGACGUGGAUAACCAUCCUCUUUUUCUGGGGUGACUACGGGAAGCCGCUUCUAAUACUGGCUGAUAUGUUCUACGGCAUGGUUCAAAAGUGAAUGAGGGUCUUGCCGUCACUUAUAGCUGGAUUCGCGCUGCAUUAGCUAGUUGGUAAGGUAACGGCUUACCAAGGCAACGAUGCAUAGCCGACCUGAGAGGGUGAUCAGCCACACUGGAACUGAGACACGGUCCAGACUCCUACGGGAGGCAGCAGUGGGGAAUCUUGCGCAAUGGGCGAAAGCCUGACGGAGCAACGCCGCGUGAGUGAUGAAGGUCUUCGGGUCGUAAAGCUCUGUUGUUGGGAAAGAACAGAUGCAGGUGAAUAUGUGGACGUCUUGACGGUACCUAAACAAAAAGCCCCGGCUAACUUCGUG
rnacentral:rRNA from 1 species